rnacentral:lncRNA from 1 species
AGGGGCCAACUGUGGCUGCACAUCCUCACAGCAGGGGUGAGGGAUGGGCCUUCCGGGGCGGGCAGGCGUCCCGCUGUGGCUUUGGCGCUGUGGCUUUGGCGCUGUGGCUUUGGUGCAGUGACUGGGGAGGUGAGCACCUCCGGGUGCCUUGCCACCUCUCUCUCCUCUGGUGAGGUGACCGUGCAGCACACUCGUGGGGUUUUGAAUUGGUCGCUUUCUCGUGGAGCCCUCAGAAGUCUCCGCCCGCCUUGGACACAAGUCCUUCAUCAGACGGCGAUUUGCAAGCCUUCCCCCAUCCUGGGGCGUCCGCUCUGCGCGGUGACUUUGGCCUGGUACUGGUGGGUGUCCUACGUAAGCAGCACCUUGGCUGAUUCCGAGGCUUGAAGAGCUGCCUGGGCCUGUCUCCCCACGGGGCGUUCCGUCCACUCACAUCUGCAAGGCGGCUGGCUGCCCUGGCCAGCGUGAGGCGGGUCACCCAGAGGGUUGGGGUGUGAGGGCCUUCCUUCCCACUCACUCCAGCCUCCCCACCAUCUGCCCAGGGCCACCCCCUCUCUAGGCCUCUGUCUCCAGAAGUCCAUCCCCAGUCCCCUUUGAUGGCUCUCUCUUCACCAAGCAGGGCCCCGGGACUCGGGGGCUUCUGCGCCCUGACUUGGCCGCAGGAAGAAGGAGGAAGCUGUCAACAGCUCAGAGUUGCCUCAGAGAGGACACCAGUACAGUGGACAAAUGCCUUCAAGUAGCCCUUGGUUGGCCUGGUCUCGUGACGCUGCCUCGAUGCUGGUCACGGGGAAGCUUCUCCGCUCAGACCUGCCCCCUGGACUCCCUGAUCCAGUGGCAAGUGCCACCCAACAGCACCUGUCCUUCUCCACACCCUACAGGCUAACACCCCAGCACUCGGCCAGGAGGGCACGACCUGGGGCAGCUGCCCAAAGAGCAGCCACAGAGUGAGGGCCUUCCCUGGGCCAGCCCCCGGGUGCUGCCUGGUCAGCUUUGUGCUUCUGUGACCAAAAGACCGCCCAAGAACCAUCGCAGAGGAGGACAUUUUAUCCGGGGCCUCAUGGCUACAGAGGUCUCAGUCUGAAGACAGCGGGAGGCAGCCGGCUCUCUCCUGGGGCUGGAGGUGAGGCGGAAGAGUGUGGCAGAGGGAAGUGGCUCACGUGAUGAUCAGGAGGAGAAACAAAAU